AUGAUGGCCAUGCCGUCUGCACCGCUGUACGGCUACGACGCCCCCGGGGGCCCGCCGCCUGGCUACGGCUACUCUGCUGCCCCCGGCGGCCCGCCGCCUGGCUACGGCUACUCUGAUGCCCCGUCUCCUCAACAGCAGCAGACCUGGGACAUGGCGUCGCUCCAGGCUGCGCUGCACAAUGCUACGGCCGGUCCAUCGUCGUCGGGCAGCACAUCCGACUGGUACCUCGACUCCGGCGCUGCUGCGCAUAUAGCCUCCAACCCGGGUAUUCUCUCCUCCCUUCGUCCUUCCUCCACACACACCUCCAUCAUCGUCGGGAAUGGCGCGCACCUUCCCAUCACGCACGUUGGCACGGGCUACCUUGCCACCUCUACCAAUGCUCUCGCUCUCCGCAGCGUUCUUCUUACACCAUCUCUUGUCAAAAAUUUGCUAUCUGUUCGACAGCUCUGUCGUGAGUAG
rnacentral:rRNA from 1 species